rnacentral:rRNA from 1 species
GAAUCUUGCGCAAUGGGCGAAAGCCUGACGCAGCAACGCCGUGUGUGCGAUGAAGGCCCUCGGGUCGUAAAGCACUGUCGGGAGGAAAGAUGGUAUCGUGCGCGAAUAGCGUACGGUAUUGACGGUACCUCCAAAGGAAGCACCGGCUAACUCUGUGCCAGCCGCCGCGGUAAGACAGAGGGUGCAAGCGUUGUUCGGAAUUAUUGGGCGUAAAGCGCACGUAGGCGGCUUCAUAAGCUUGAUGUGAAAGCCCAGGGCUCAACCCUGGAAGUGCAUCGAGAACUGUGGAGCUGGAGUCCUGGAGGGGGUGGUGGAAUUCCCGGUGUAGAGGUGAAAUUCGUAGAUAUCGGGAGGAACACCAGAGGCGAAGGCGACCACCUGGACAGAGACUGACGCUGAGGUGCGAAAGCGUGGGGAGCAAACAGG